rnacentral:rRNA from 1 species
GUGGCUAAACUAGAAAAGCACUUCACUUACACCGAAAAGGUAUCCGUGCAAAUCGGAUCACUCUGAUACUUAAGAGCUAGCUACACAUAAUAUACAAUAAAUAAUUAUCAACAUAUGUUAACGUAAUAACAAAUGAAAUUAAACCAUUUUCCAUGUCAUAGUAUUGGUGAUAGAAAAAGAAAAUUAAGCCACAGAUCAAGUACCGCAAGGGAAUGCUGAAAAAGAAGUGAAAUAACUCAGUAAAGUAUAAUAAAGCAGAGCUAAAAACUCGUACCUUUAGCAUCAUGAUUUAGCAAGUAUAAUUAAGCAAAAUGUUUUCUAGUUUACCAUCCCGAAACUUGGUGAGCUACUCCGAAGCAGCCUAUUAUAGGGCAAACACGUCUCUGUAGCAAAAGAGUGUGAAGACUUCUGAGUAGAGGUGACAGACCUAUCGAACCAAGUUAUAGCUGGUUGCCUGAGAAUUAAAUAGAAGUUUAGCCUCUUAUUUUCUAAGUUUAACUUUGACUUUUCAUCAAAAAAUGACAGAAUAUUAAAGAGUUACUCAUAAGGGGUUCAGCCCUUAUGAAAAAGGAUACAACCUUAUUCAGGCGGUUAAUGAACAUAUUUUAUAAAGUUAAUGUUUUAGUGGACUUAAAAGCAGUCACCUACAGAAAAAGCGUUAAAGC